AUUCAUAUCUUUAAAAUUGGUUUAUGGUGCUUUACCUAGACUGUUGGGUGAGAGUCACAAAAAGAGGAAGUGUCCAAAUGCCUGCUGCACAUCAACUGCCUAAGGGAUCUGGAUGUGGAUCAACUUGCAAAGGGAUCCUGUAGACAGGCAUGACAGAAAGUGGACAAGAGGACCACCCUGACCCCAGAGACAUGAGGGCCUGUGGUUCACCUUGGAGUAUCAGAAAAUAUGUGACCAUUGGCAGCUGGUUUGUGCAGAAUCCCUGGUUACGCUGAGCCUCGAGGACUGUGACUGUCUUAUGUACCUGUUGCCCGUGGGGCCUGGAAAAGGAAAAAAAUCAUGGGGGUGUUAGAAUAGAAGCAAGACAAUGCAUGCCACAUGCCACACGCUACAUGCCACAUGCCACACGCCACAUGUCACAGCUCCAUUGUUUUUGAAGCUAUUGUUUUCCUUUCUUAGCUUUGAGCCUGUCUAAUGUAUUAAACUUUUUUUUUUUC
rnacentral:lncRNA from 1 species